rnacentral:lncRNA from 1 species
CCCUUCAUUUUUCAUCUCCCUCAUCUCCAUUCCAAAACCUAGCCGCCCUAGUUUUCCCCAAACCCUUGUGACCGGCGGCCACACUCCAAAUCCCUCCAAAUCUUCACUCUACAAUCCCUAGCUUUCCUAUAUAGCUAAUCUCCUAUCAAUUUGUCCUAAAUCCUUGCAAAUCCCUCAAUUUUCAAAUCAGAAAGAUUGUUUAAGCCCUAACCAUUCUUUGUUGAGAUUUUCUUGGUCUUUUGAGUUUUAAAUUGACAUCAGUCGAUUUCUUUGAUAAGAGCAAUUGACUGAUGUUAAUCUUAACUCAUAGCAUGAUCAUCCGAACUAGGUUAAAAUGACGCUCAAUCGGCGCUGAUUCUGUUUGAAUUUCUUCCAAGAAGGUACCCUCUAUUUGUUUUUUUUUAUGUUCAAUUAUAUAUCUAGGUGUUCAUUUUAUUAGUUCAUCAUUGUUUGUUGGGUUACGCAUGAUUUAAAGUUAUGUCUGCCCAUCCCCAUGCAUCACUUUCAUUUUAGUUAAUUGGAUUAAUUAGUAUGUUUGAACACCGAGUCGAUUCCUUUGUAGUCUUUAUGAAUUUUGAUUUUCGUUUUAAUGGUUUCAUUGUUUUCUUAAGUUUUAGUUUAAGGGUUAAUUCAAAAAUCUUUUUUAUGAUAAGUGUAUGUGAUUUUGGGGUUUGUUUUAAAAUUAAAAAGAAAAUAAGGAAGGAGUUGAAAACAAGGGGUGUAGAAUGUAACUGAUAGGAAUGCUAGAAGGGUUAAAAGAAAUAGGAAUUUUAGGGAAUAAUUCUAUUACUUUGGCUGGGAUAUUCUAGAACCUAGUAAUAGGGACUAAAAGCAUUAAAAUAAAUCAAUUAGGUCACAAUUUAGGGGUAAAAAGGGAUAAAAUCAGAAGAAGAGGGGCUGAAAGUAGAAAAUAAUGUUUAAAUAAAGACAACUGUAAAAAAAUUGGUUAGAAAAGAUGUCAAUUCCCUAAUUUGUAGGGAGCUGGCAGAAUAUUCUCACACUCAUCUCUCAUUUUUCUCUCACAAAAGCAUACUCCUAUACUCUAUAUAAGAGACCUCACACUCCUUCAUACACACACACGUCAAUACUCUGCAUAUUGACUCACUCACAAGAAUACUUAAAAAGCUAAGAAUCUAGAAAAAGAAAUAUUCUGAAGAAAACUUCAAAAAAAAAAAAGAGGUUCUCUUGCUUUUCAAGGCCCUGUUUAAAAUUUCUGGGCAUAUAUUGGAAGCUUGUUCUUUUUUAGCACUUUUAGUUGUGUUUAUUUCUUGCACCAUAGCUGGUUUUUCUCUUUGGAGUUCCUAACUUCAUCAUGUACUAAUCCUCUCUCUGUAUUCAUCUUUUUUCAUGUAUUUUUCCUACACCUUAUGAACUUAUGAAAUGAAUGAAGUUUCAUAAUGGUAUGCUUGAUGGCAGUGAGUUGAGUUGAAGUUUUUUUUAAUGAAUUUCCCGCUUAAUGGGUUUGUAAUGUUUAAAGGCUUGAGACUUUGUUGAUCUUUCAUUAAUCCCCAUGAGCAUCCCUGAUACGUUAUUUCUUUUUGUGUAAAUUGUUUUAGAUGAAAAUUAUCCAAAUCUAGCCCGCAUGUGAUGAUUUCCUUAUGUUUAACUAAAAAAAAUAGAAAUUUACC